rnacentral:rRNA from 1 species
GAUGAACGCUAGCUACAGGCUUAACACAUGCAAGUUGAGCGCUGAAGGUUGGUACUUGUACCAACUGGAUGAGCAGCGAACGGGUGAGUAACGCGUGGGGAAUCUGCCUUUGAGCGGGGGACAACAUUUGGAAACGAAUGCUAAUACCGCAUAAAAACUUUAAACACAAGUUUUUAAGUUUGAAAGAUGCAAUUGCAUCACUCAAAGAUGAUCCCGCGUUGUAUUAGCUAGUUGGUGAGGUAAAGGCUCACCAAGGCGAUGAUACAUAGCCGACCUGAGAGGGUGAUCGGCCACAUUGGGACUGAGACACGGCCCCAAACUCCUACGGGAGGCAGCAGUAGGGAAUCUUCGGCAAUGGACAAAGUCUGACCGAGCAACGCCGCGUGAGUGAAGAAGGUUUUCGGAUCGUAAAACUCUGUUGGUAGAGAAGAACGUUGGUGAGAGUGGAAAGCUCAUCAAGUGACGGUAAACUACCCAAGGAAAGGGACGGCUAAACUACGUGCCAGCAGCC